CGGAAGGCCCUUCGGGGUACUCGAGCGGCGAACGGGUGAGUAACACGUGAGUAACCUGCCUCAGGCUUUGGGAUAACCCCGGGAAACCGGGGCUAAUACCGGAUAUGACCUUCGGCCGCAUGGUUGGGGGUGGAAAGUUUUUUCGGCCUGGGAUGGGCUCGCGGCCUAUCAGCUUGUUGGUGGGGUGAUGGCCUACCAAGGCGACGACGGGUAGCCGGCCUGAGAGGGCGACCGGCCACACUGGGACUGAGACACGGCCCAGACUCCUACGGGAGGCAGCAGUGGGGAAUAUUGCACAAUGGGCGGAAGCCUGAUGCAGCGACGCCGCGUGAGGGAUGACGGCCUUCGGGUUGUAAACCUCUUUCAGCAGGGACGAAGCGCAAGUGACGGUACCUGCAGAAGAAGCGCCGGCCAACUACGUGCCAGCAGCCGCGGUAAGACGUAGGGCGCGAGCGUUGUCCGGAUUUAUUGGGCGUAAAGAGCUCGUAGGCGGCUUGUCGCGUCGACUGUGAAAACCCACAGCUCAACUGUGGGCUUGCAGCCGAUACGGGCAGGCUAGAGUUCGGUAGGGGAGACUGGAAUUCCUGGUGUAGCGGUGAAAUGCGCAGAUAUCAGGAGGAACACCGGUGGCGAAGGCGGGUCUCUGGGCCGAUACUGACGCUGAGGAGCGAAAG
rnacentral:rRNA from 1 species